rnacentral:lncRNA from 1 species
GCUAGUUUUAAAUUAGUUUUGAUGUGUCUGUUAGUCGGUUUCUUGUUUUAAUUUUUACUAAAUUCAUUGCGGAAAAACUAUUCACAUACAUAAGUUGUAGAAAAUAACGUUUGAAUUUUUGCUAUGUGCCUCCUUAAACUGCAUUGAAAGGACUUAUCAGAAAGCUAAAGAAGUUUCCAAACACAAAAAGUCCAUUAAUUAUAUGUACAGUUUGAGUGAUGGUACAUCACUCGAACUGAACUGAACUGAACUGUACAUCAUUGUACAUGAUGCCGGGAGGGAGUCAAUUAAUACAUUUAUUCAUAUUUUAUGUAAUGCAGGCAGCAGGUUGUCCAUCCCUGUUGUACAGUACAUGAUGGAAAGAGGGAUGAAGCAUUGUUUUAGUUGUAUUAGUGGCAUAUGAAUUUGUUCUUAUAAAUAAAUUUUGUUACUUAUUGAUAUAAGAACAAAUUUUGUUGUUUAAAUAUGUCCUACUUAUUAUUCAUGUGAAUAAACUGUCAGUUUAAUUAAAAAGUUCUGAAAAGAUUUUCUAAUUUCUUCAAUGUUGGAGGUCCAUGAACUAUUGUACAGUACAUGUAAUAAAGAGGAAUGAGUUUGCCAAAAGUACAGAUCAUUUUGUAUAUCUUAGCCAAGCAAUACAGUACACGGUAUUUGGCUAGUGCACUGGAAAUUUUAAAAAGUUUAAAAAGCACUUUUUUGGUAAUUUACUAUGACCUUUUAAUAAUUUGUUCCUUUCACAAAAUAAAUAGACUGGUCCCUGCUACUGCACAUUUUUACAGCAUGGCCAAGAUUCAUGAAAUGAACUGUACAUCAUUGUACAGUACAUGAUGCCGGGAGGGAGUCAAAUGUGGCUAAAAAACUGUACAUGUAAUUAAUACAUGACCCAUAUUAAAUUAUUUUAUGUGAAAUCAUACAUUUUGUUAUCAGAUAAGUUACAUUAACUUUUUAUUAUUAAUAAUUGCUUUUAUUACCAUUUAUCAUUUAGAAAUAUUUGAUUUGUAAAACUUAAUUAUAAAUAUUUCAAUUUUAUUAUCUAAAAAUCCUAUGCAGAUGAAGGAAUAAUAUAAUUACAGUUUUAUUAAUUAAAAUUAAUAUUGUUUUUAUUAAUAAUACUUCUAUUUACAUUGUCUCUUGACUUAUUUGAAUGUUGUUUUAUCUUUAAAAUAGCAAAAAAUUUAUUAGUUAUCUCUGCACAAUUCUAUUUUCUAACACACAAGGAUGUGUCGUUAUAAUGUAUGUUUAACCCUAGGGACCAGUUCAGAAAACAAGAAAAUUGUGUCUUAAACCAUUUUCUGUACUAAGAAUUUUAUUGAUCUUGAAUGAAUAAUUGACCAUUAUUAAUUAUUGUUGGUCAUGUCAGACCCCAUGGCCUAGACCUGAAUAAAAAUAGGUCUAAAUCAAACUUGCCUCUACCCAUAAAAUUUAAUUACUUUUUUAGAUUAAGUACUUGCUUAAAUCUUGGCUUUGACCAGUACAGCAAAUGGCAAUCUGCAAGACAGAUUUGGCAUACUAGAUCGUAUAGUAAUUAUAUAGCUGCAAACAACCAAAGCAAUAUUUCAUAGUCACAUUCAAGCAUUGACUAGCAAAGAGAACAAUGCAUAGAGAUCCAUGAAUUUCUGAGUCAUUCAAAGUGAUACAAAGACACGAUGUAUUUCCACUGAUAAGAUUUUGGUCAUGUGCGCAUAUUCAAUAGAUUUUUUUUAUCAGUUAUAUUGAUGAGAAAUUUGAAUGAGAUGACAAGUUACACAUACUACAUUCACAACAUACAUCAUAUUCUAUAUAUUCACCCAUCUUUGCUUAAAAAGUCAAUAUCACUUUCAUGUCAGAAACCAAUAAUUUCAAGCUUGGUCCAGGAGGUUCAUAAACCCAAGCAAUCAAUUCAGAUAUCAGUAAUUCCCAUUUGAUCUGUCAUGCAAUAGCAGUUUCUCAUUUGUUGACAAGUGAUUCUAUUUUAUAGUUCUGAUAUUGAAUAUGUGCACAACACUCAUAUUUUCAAGGAGUUAAUUUAUUAUUUAUUUGAUGAUAAAAUGUUUUUUGAAACAUAAAUAGUCUCAUUGUUCUACUUAAUCUUUAUAGUGGCAAUUACAAAUCAAAUGUAAAAGAAAUUUAAUUAUUUUAGAUUAUAUUUAUUAUUUGAAUGGUGGUAGUUUAUUUUUUAUUCUGUUUGUCAGUGUCACUGUUAAGAAUAGAUCUGACAAUGAAACUAUUUCUUUCAAAAAUGCUUUAUCAUCAAAUAAAUAAUAAAUUGAAUCCUUGAAAAUUAUUGGUGUCGUUUUAUUGAUUAUACUUAGUAGCCAGUGAUUGAGAAAUAAAAAGCUUUGUAUGUCAUUGGAUAAAACUAGCAUCUGGUUAAUUUGUCAGUUGCAAGAAAAAUGGCAGAAUAAUGCUUUCAGCUUUUGACAUUGUAGCUCUUCGGAUCUGAUGAACUAAUUUUGAGAGUCCACAAUGUUCUAAUUAAAAAUAAAAAAAUAGUAAUAUUUUAAGGUUAUUUUAUGUUACACUUAGAUUCAAAAUUUAAUAUUUAUAUUGGCAAUAACAAUUUCUGUCGUCUUUCCUUAUUACUGUUCCUAAGAUAACUAUUUAGGGUUUGCAAAGGUCAAAGUUCUUUUUUCCUGAUUACAUAGUAAUUAAUUUCUGACCUUUGGUGUUUCUAAACUCGAUCACUUGUGGCUUAGAAUAUCCUCUUUGCUAAGCAAUUCUCAUCUUCAAGCAAGUAAUCAAUCAUCAUUAAUAUCAUUAUUCAGGUUGAACGCCAUGGCAUAGAUUCUGAAAAAAGUCUAAACAACCUCUUGGAUCUAGAUCUUGUUUCUAUAAAUGAUCACACAUCUCUAUACAUUUUCAUUUUUCUUAAAAAGUCUUAAUUUUUAUUUUGAUACUUAAAUGUAAUAUUUCUAAAGUGUAAACAUAAAAUGUUUUAAAUUUUUUUUUAUUUUGAAACAAUAUAUAUAAAUUAUGCACUAAGUAACUUUAAGAUAAUACAUUUGACUAUAUUGUGUAAUUGUUGAGAGGGUUUUAAACGUCUGGAUUUAUUCAAAAGAAGUAUCAAACAUCCAUCUCUUUGACUUAUUAAUUUUAGUCAUUAAUGAUAAUGGUAAUGCACUCAGGAAAGUAAUUGCCUUUUACUAAAGAUAUUUGAAAGAAUAAAUAAAAGAAUAACAAUAGUUUCAAGUAUCUUUAUCAUUGCUAAUAUGCAAUAUUUAAAUAUAAUUUUUAAAGCUAGGAGUUUUUAUACUGUAUAUAAAUGUAUAUUAAUUAGAAUACUGUGUGUUUAUAAUAAUAAAUUGAGAUAUGAUUUACUGUAGUUGCUGUAUUAUACUGUACGAUAUAUACUGUAUCAAUGUGCUAUAUUCUCGGACCUGUUAUUUGAGUUAUAGUGUGCUUUGUUGUAUAUUAUUAUUAAUUGGACUGAAAAACAUGUAUUCUGAAUUUCAUUAAAUAUUUUUGAACAACAGUUUUGGUUUAUUCCUAAAAACUAAGAAGCAAAAAUAUUUUCAUCAUCUCUGAUUUUGAUUGCAAGGAAGUAGCUCUCCAGCAUCUAGAAAUUUUGCAGGUAACUGAUAAUCGCUAGAAGAGAGAGGGUUAUGAUUAUCCUCAUCUAGAAUUAAAAAAAAAGAAAAAAAAAACAUUUUAGAGAAUCUAGAAGAGAAAUAAUCUGGAAAUGCUUCAUCCCCAGAAGAUUUAUAUGAGAUAAUUGCAUGAAUUCUUAGAUAACCACGAGUUUUAACAACUGAUUAUAUAGUUAGUUCUGUUAAAGAUAAGGAGAUUGAAGAUGCGUAUAAAAGAUUGAAAAUAUAUUUUCUUUGCUGUUCUAAGUGUUAAAUUGACAUUUAUACUCUUCAGAUUGUUGUCAAGGGAGAGAUGAAAUGAAGGCGAAUAAAAAAUGGGAUCAGAGAUGUACUGUACGUUUAAUUAUUAGUUUCCCAGCUGAUAGUUUUGAUAGUUUAUCGUCAUCGUUCAAGGUAAAUUGUUAAAAAACCAAAUUUUUGAAGUCCGUAGAAAAUUAACAAAUUUGAUUUUCAACCGUACGUUAAUAGAAGCAUUAAAUAGGAUUCUAACGGAAAAAAACUAUUUGAUCCUAUCUAUUUCCGAUUUCAAGAAUUUUUGGAAAAGGAUUUUUCCGUAGAAAAACUGAAUUUUUAAUGCCAUCUGCUGAAGAUCGCUCGCGUGCAUAACCAAAGAGAUUACAAUCAGCCUUAAUCAAAAAAUUAAAGUUUUGGAAUGAUUAGUGGCAUUUAUUGACUACUAUCAAAUGAAAAUUGCAUAUAAUUUUUUUCUCUUCUUUAUCCAUUAUGAUGAAAUUUUAAUAUAAGAAAAUAAGUUGUGUAGUCCAAAAGAUUCAUUGUAAUGACAAUUAUAAUUGUUUUUAUAUACAUUUCUUAUUUUGUAUGGCUUUAAAUCAAUUGUUUAACUGUAUUCUUCACGCCCAUUGCAAAUCUAUCGAUUUGUUGUAUCUAUCAAUCGGUGUUUAUAAAGCAGUCUUCUAUUUAUAAAUACUGUAAUUUCAAGUCCGUUCAUAUAAAAAUGCAAUUGAAUUAUCAGUGAUUAGAAUAUUAUUAUUAUUUUGUUUAAUGAAAUAAACAAGAAAAUCCGUGUUUUUGAAUCAAAUAACAAUUACCAAAAUCUCAAAAUGAAAACGACUAAAUCCAAAAUUUUUCAGUUUUAUUUAUGUAGAUGUGAGAAACUUCCUCCUAAAAUCCUAAAUUAUUUGUAUCGAAAUAUUAGAUGCCAUUGUUCAAAAACUAUUAAUGCCAAUCUUGAAUUUUUGUGUGUAUAUAAUAUAUGUAUGCUCUACAUUCGUGAACAAAAGUUGAAGUUUCGAAGAAAAGGUAAGAAUUGCUUUCACCACGAUCUUUAUUUUUUAAUAUUUUACAUAAGGUGAUAAUAUAAAGGACGAGAGCGGCUCCCUUUGAACAAAGCCCUCGUGUUAAAAAAAAAGAAUCGUUUGUCGUAAAUUGUGCCGAAAAGAAGACGAAUAUUCGUCUCCACGUAGCCUAUUCGUAUUGUUCAUCAACACUACUCGGCAUUCGGCGAAUAGCGAACGUGUGAACUGGUGAUCAGUGUAUUCAGUUUGGCGUUUUUUAAAACUAGAUCUACUAGAUUUUUCACUCGACGAGCGCACACCUGUACAUAUUCGAUCAUUUUUCCAGCAUCGAUUCGUUGGGGAAACGACGAAUAUUCGUCCGAGAUCCAGAAAAUGAACAAUUCUCAAAAAAUAAUUUAUGCCGCAGCUUUUAUAGUUAUGAAUAGUUCAUAUCUAUUAAUUAAUGAAAAAAAGCCUAAAAGAAGAUAGUGAAUGGCAUCACUUCAAAGCAGAAACAAUUCCCCCUAAUAUCCAAACCUCCCUCUAAAUUUCAGAAAUUUUCGUCAAAGACAUAGUAGUUAUUAAUAUUGUAUGGUAAAGAACAUUGUUGGAAACCACGAGUGAAAAAUCUGAAAAUGCAUAAUCGUUGAUUUUGAUUUUGUAAGUCAAGACUAAAAGACGGACAAGGCACAUCUACCGCGGUUAAAGGUAACGUAAAAAUAUUUUUGAAAGAGAAAAUUUAUAAAGGUUUGUACGAAGCCUCAAAUGCAAUGAACCUUUAAAUUGAAAAUGUGAUAUACUUGGCAUAUAUUCAUCAUCGGGAUUAGCCGGGUUUUAAAAGGCUAACUUUAGUGUAGAAACUUUUGAGAUGAAAGUUCAGAAUGUUUUUGGAUCCGAGUCAUAGUUGCUGACCAUACGAUUGAAAAAAUUGUUGAUCUUAGGGUACAUCCGCUAUUUGCAUUAUGUCAAACUACUGUAUUUGACGAACUGUUUGUCAUUCGGCAAGCGCUCAAAUACACAGUCGAUUAUUCGUUGCGAGUACGACGAAUGUUCGUCCAAGAUCUAGAACAAUAGAUAGUUCUCGAACAAUAAUUUGUGGCGCUUUUAUAUUACCAGUAGCUGGAAUGUAUUAAUAGAAAAAAGCCUAAAAGAUGAUAGCGAAUGGCAUCGCUUCACCAAAGCAAAAUAAUGUAAAUGUGAAAAAGGAAAUUUUUUUAAACAAUCCAAUAAAACCGUAUUGCAAAACACGAUCAGAAAUAUUUAAACUAUUAAACAAACUCAAAAAAAUAAACCAAAUUCAAAAUCAAAAGAUACGAUUUAGUUAAAAAGGACUAAAAUGGAAACACUGGUGACCAAAUCCACAUAUUCGUUAUUCUCGGAGUGCCUAGGAGUGUGGAUGGAACCCACGAAAAGGAGGGAGCCAAUAAGUUAUUCGUCUUCUUUUUACGGCACAAUUUACCGACGAGAAUCGGGAAAUGCCGAAUCUUUGCUCGGUGUUCGGCGAAUAGCUAAUGCGUGGAUGCGCCCUUACAAUUAUGAAAAAAAUUACGGUAAUUUUGAAUUACUACUACCUAAAAUAGCUCCUUACGUUAAUUAGUAAUAGGAACAUAUAGAUGGACGUAGUCGUAGGACAGUACAAGCAAAACAGUUAUUGGUUGUCCUUCGGAUAUUGGUAACACCGGGUUCUUUUAGGUUACAACUUCGUUUGAGAACAGCAAGAUUUCCUAAUGCGAUAGAAGUUGCUGAUGGAAUAUAUAUUCCAACCAACAAAGCCUCUUAAUCCUCCUAGUCCUUACCUCUGUACAGAGAAGUUCCCUGUAAUGAUAUUGCAGUGUUGUUGAGAUCAUAAAUAUCGUUUUACACAUUGU